CGGCGGACGGGUGCGUAACGCGUGGGAACAUACCUUUCGGUACGGAACAACUGCGGGAAACUGCAGCUAAUACCGUAUACGCCCUUACGGGGAAAGAUUUAUCGCCGAAGGAUUGGCCCGCGUUCGAUUAGCUAGUUGGUGAGGUAACGGCCCACCAAGGCUACGAUCGAUAGCUGUUCUGAGAGGAAGAUCAGCCACACUGGGACUGAGACACGGCCCAGACUCC
rnacentral:rRNA from 1 species